rnacentral:rRNA from 1 species
GUCGAGAAUCUUCCGCAAUGCGCGAAAGCGUGACGGAGCGACACCGCGUGAUGGAUGAAGUCCUUCGGGGCGUAAACAUCUUUUAUAAAGGAGGAAAUUUUUGACGUUACUUUAUGAAUAAGGGGCUUCCAAUCUCGUGCCAGCAGGAGCGGUAAUACGAGAGCCUCAAGCGUUAUCCGGAAUCAUUGGGCGUAAAGGGUGCGUAGGUGGUUUGAUUAGUCUCCCGUUAAAACUUCGAGCUUAACUCGAAAAGAGCGGGGGAAACGGUCAAACUAGAGUAUGUGAGAGGUGUGUGGAACUCAUGGUGUAGGGGUGAAAUCCGUUGAUAUCAUGGGGAACACCAAAAGCGAAGGCAGCACACUGGCACAUCACUGACACUGAGGCACGAAACCUAAGGUAGCGAAUGGGAUUAGAUACCCUGGUAGUCC